AUCCUAGGAACUUAGGUCAUCAGGCUUGGCAGAGUCGAGCUCCCCUCUCCCCAGCACGGCUGUAGUCAUUUUGUUCCAUGCCCGCCAGCUCUUUCAUAUCGUUGCUGUGAAACUCCCCAGUACCUGAGCUGAGGACCAAACCCAGGGCUUUGUGCUUGCUAGGCAAGCGCUCUACCACUGAGCUAAAUCCCCAACCCCCCUUCGCUACCUUUUGAGCAGCCAAUAUCAGAACUGUUUCUGAGUUACGAGACAGGAUCCAAAGUGUCAGUGGAAAUCCCCAACUCCACUCUGCUGUGACCACUAAGGAUCAGCACACGUGCUCUGCUGCCUACCAUACCUACGUGCAUUGCCACAUAAUACUCUUGCAAGACAUCCAGAGAAAGUGGCUUGGAAUACAAUCAUGUUGUGUUAAAAUCCACUGCUCACAACUGAAGAAGCCAGACAGAUUGACACAUGCCGAGAGGCCUCGUUGAGAGAAACCCCUUGCUAAAACCUCACAUGAAUAUGGAAAGUAGUCGUCCCAACAGGUGUAUAUCAACACAAAAACAAUAAAUAUGAAAAAUAAAUAAUGAUGCCUCAUAAAGUUCAGAACUUCACAGAUAUAGAAGUGAAUGAUAUAGAAUUCAAAUGUAUGUUUUUUCUAAAAG
ensembl:lncRNA